AAAAAACAAAGGGAAAAUAAUACUACUACUCUAUAGAAGUCAGACGAUAUCUCUUUUAUUUAUUUUAUUUUUGUGUGAAGAAGAUGUUUCUUUUGAGUGAUAGAGAAUCUAUGCUCACCAUCUGUUUGUUCCUUUUCCCAUGACAUGACACCACGCUUUCCUUCACCCCCUUCUUCCCCAAUAAAUAAUUUCAAAAAGUUGUUGAAGUAAACGCUCGCCUCAAUUUUUUUUAUUGCCUUAGCUCGCUCUAUCUCACAAAAAACAAAACACCAAAAAAAAAAGUACAUUUCACCCAAAAAAAAUUUUAAUUUGAUUUUUAUUCCUUAACUAAAAUUACAAUUUUAGAUUUUUAAAAUCAAAUUUUUGUUUUUUCUUUUUGUUGUUUUUAUGCUGGGCGGCGAUGCCUACGCCGGUAACGGCAGCUCGGCAAUGCUUAACGGAAGAAUCGGCGCGCGCGUUAGACGAAGCGGUGGCGGUAGCGCGUAGAAGGAGCCAUGCACAAACAACAUCACUCCACGCGGUGUCGGCGCUGCUUUCCAUACCGUCGUCCACUCUCCGGGACGCGUGUGCACGGGCACGAAGCAUCGCGUACCCGUCCCGACUCCAAUUUCGAGCGUUGGAGCUUUCCGUCGGGGUGUCACUCGACCGUUUACCUUCAUCGAAGACCGUCGAGGACCCUCCGAUCUCCAACUCCUUGAUGGCCGCAAUCAAACGGUCACAAGCCAAUCAACGGCGCCAUCCAGAAAGUUACCAUUUACAGCAGUUACACAGUAACAAUAAUAACAUCAAUAACGCCACCGGUUGUUCCCAAACGGCGGCGCUUUUGAAGGUCGAGCUUAAAUACUUCAUUCUAUCGAUUCUCGAUGAUCCGAUUGUUAGUCGGGUUUUCGGGGAAGCUGGGUUCCGGAGCUGUGACAUAAAGUUAGCUUUAGUUCACCCACCGGUAACUCACGUUUCCUCUCGGUUUUCACGUACCCGUUGCCCGCCUAUAUUUUUGUGUAACUUAACCGAUUCGGUGUCGGGGCAAGUCGGGUUUAAUUUCCCGUUUUCGUGUCAAGAAGAUGGGUUUGAUGAGAAUUGUCGAAGAAUUGGUGAAGUUAUGGUUAAAAAGAGCGGGAAAAGUCCGUUGCUUGUUGGGGUUUGUGCUAUGGAAGCUUUGAGGGGUUUUACAGAGAGCUUAACGAGAGGAAAAUCUGGUUUCUUGGAUGGGGAUUUGGCUGGGUUGAUUGUAAUUUCGAUUGAAAAGGAGGUUAAUGAGUUUGUUACUGAAGGAAAUGAGGAAAAAUUGGGGUUAAAGAUGAAGGAAAUGAAAGGUAUUUUGGAGAAGUGUACUGCGUCUGUAGGAGGAGGAGGAGGAGGAGGAGGAGUGGUUUUAAAUUUUGGGGACUUAAAAGGGUUGUUUUUGGAAGGGGUUUUAAGUGAUUCUGUUAGUUCUUUGGUUUUGAAAUUAACGGGUUUAAUGGAAGUUUAUAGGAGGAAAUUAUGGUUGAUUGGAGCUGUGGAAACUGUUGAAAUUUACAGGAAGUUUUCCGAUAAGUUUCCGAAUAUAGAAAUAGAUUGGGAUUUGCAUUUGUUGCCCAUUACUUCUUCCAAGAGUUCUUUUGAUGGGGCUCACUCCAAAUCCAGCUUGAUGAAGUCCUUUGUUCCAUUUGGUGGCUUCUUUCCUACACCAUCUGAUUUUAGAAGUCCGUUGAGUGGCAGAAACCAAUCCAUCACUCGAUGUAACCUUUGCAACGAGAAGUAUGAACAAGAAGUUGCUGCUAUAUUGAAGGUUGGAUCAACAGUUUCAGUUGCUGAUCAGCAUUCAGAGAACUUACCUUCUUGGUUACGGAUGGCGGCAGUGGACACCAGCAAGGGAGAGGAUGUGGCAAAGACUAAAGAUGGUGAAACCAUGUUAAGUGCUAAAGUUUUGGGGUUGCAGAAAAAAUGGGAUGAUAUAUGCCAACGCCUCCAUCACAUGCCAGCAAUCUACAAGUUAAAUCUUACUCCCGCUGGGCCCCAAGUUCCAAUAGUUGGGGCCCCCCAAUUUGCCACAGAAAAGAAGCAAAGCAGUAGUGAAGAUCCGUCUAUCAAUGAAAGUCGAUUUCCCAGUCAAAGUCCCAGCACACAAAUUCCGCGUACUUCUGAAGCCGAGAAUACGAAUUUCCAGUCCAGGUUACUUGUAGAUGUUUCAAGCUUAGCACAGCAGACAGAUAAGGUUGUGCGUGGGUUUACCCAUCAGCCUCAGCAAAAUCUAAGCGGACGCAAUCCAUCUUUAUUUGUUCCUCCAGUCACCACAGAUUUAAAGUUAGGAACAAUGUAUGCAUCAACCAGUCAGGAAUCAAACAACUUAAAGUCGCUAGAUCAUAAGGAACGUCUUCAACGAGGUUCCAUAUCUGCUGAAUUUGAUGCAAAUACCAAGAAUACUUCAUAUCAAUUUGCCCAAUCUUCGUCAUGCUCUGGUCUUGCAACAGGAGAGCAGUUUGAUCAAGGAGAUUACAAGUCCAUUAGGAAAGUUCUUGAUGAAAAAGUUGGUUGGCAAGAUGAAGCUGUAAAUUCUGUUAGCCAAGCUGUAUCCCAAUUAAGGAGAAGCUAUGGAAGUUGUCGUGGCAUAAGCUGUAAAGGGGAUAUUUGGCUUACUUUCCUUGGACCUGACAGAGUUGGAAAAAGAAGAAUUGCUUCAGCACUUGCUGAGGUACUAUUUGGUAGCCAGGAAUACUUAAUUUCUGUGGAUUUGAGCUCGCAAGAUAAAGGUAGCCAGUCAAACUCAAUUUUUGAAUGCCAAGAGUUAAAUGGUUAUGAUGUGAAGUUUAGAGGGAAAACAGUUUCCGAUUUCAUUGCUGCGGAAGUGAGGAAGAAACCCCAUUCUGUUAUCUUCCUUGAAAAUGUGGAUGAGGCUGAUUAUUACGUUCGACAUAGUUUGGACCAGGCUAUUAGAACAGGUAAAUUUCCUGAUUCACAUGGGAGGGAAAUCGGCAUCAACAAUAUGGUUCUUAUAACAACAUCAACCAUCACCAAAGGCAAUACAACUGUUUUCUUUGAGAAGAAACCCAUGAAAUUCUAUGAGGAAAGAAUACUCGGAGCGAAAAGCUGGCAAAUUCAAAUUGUAGUUGGUUCUAUUUCUGAUGAUGUCAGCAGAAGCAAUGUCACAGGCACCAGAGUUACAAAAAUAAAAGAAGCUUCUGCUUCUGCAUUUGUUAACAAAAGAAAGCUGAUCGAUACUGUUGAGUCUUCUGAGUUGGAAAAGACAGACACAGGAGAACGAGUCUGCAAGGCGUCUAGAUCCUGCCUGGAUUUAAAUCUUCCUGUGGAGGAUACAGACGAGGACUUAAAAUUGGGCGAAUCUGACAGUGAGUCCCUCUCCGAGAACUCAGAAGGUUGGUUGGAGGAAUUCUUGAGCCAAGUAGAUAAAAAGAUACUUUUCAAGCCAUUUGAUUUUGAUGGACUUGCCAAUAAAAUUGUAAAGGAAGUCAGCUCACAAUUUCAGAGGACUGUUGGAUCUGAGGUUCCAUUGGAGAUAGAUCAAGAAGUAAUGGUACAAAUACUUGCAGCUGCAUGGUUGUCAGAAAGAAAGGGAGCGGUAGAAGAUUGGCUUGAAAAAGUGCUUGGAAGAAGCUUUGCUGAGGCUCAGCAGAAGUACCAUCUCACUUCUCAGUCUGUUGUGCAACUAGUUGCAUGUGAAGGUGUUGUUGUGAACGAGCAAGCUCCCGAGUUGACGGGUUACCUUCUUUUCAGCUUGCCUGCAUUGCCUAGAUUCAUUUAUAAUCUUACCUUCCUGGAGUUAAAGAUCGCAUUCAAAGACUGGAAGGGCAAAAUGCUGCUGAUUCUUUGCAAGUUGUCUUGGUGUGAUCAAUUGAUGAAUCGGCCAUAAACUUCCUUCUACACGAACCACUUCAUACGGUACUGGAAAUCCAACCUGGAAUCAUCGAUGUUAUGCAUGGGUCAUAUAUAACAAUAUUUUCACCUGGACAUCUGUUUCCUGUUAAGGCUAUUGAUUCCAGGCGGUUGGGCUUGAUGAAUGUGCUUCUGUUUCAGCUCAAUGGACCUACACUCAUGCUUACAGCGUCAUUGUUUCUUCUGAGUUCAAUUUAACGCUUGCAACUAGGUUCCUGUUAUUUAUCGUCUUGGUUGCGUUAGGUUUAGUGACAGGGAUCAAGGAUGGUUUAGCAAAGAGAAACACUAUGGUAAAAAGUGGAAGACAUCCAAUCCUGACAAUGGCUGCAAAAUGUUUCAUGAUUGCAUACGAGUUUGAACAUUUUGCGAAGGCUCCGAGGUAUCAUCUACUCAUCUCUUUAAACCAUUUACUUGCCUUCUGUAAACAAAAUGCAGGCUUUUGCUUUUCUCAUCCAAAGCUACAAUGUCUGAGGAAUUUCAUCAUUUCUCAAGUUUUUUUAACUGAAGAUUCUUGGACCUUAUGGCUUUGAUGUAGUGGCUACAGAACUGGUCUUUCUCGUUCCAAAUCUUUUUGUUUGAACUUGAAUUGUAAGGAUGACAAUCGG